GGAUGAACGCUAGCUACAGGCUUAACACAUGCAAGUCGAGGGGCAGCAUGUUGGUUGCUUGCAACCAAUGAUGGCGACCGGCGCACGGGUGAGUAACGCGUAUCCAACCUACCCAAUACUCAGGCAUAACCCGUUGAAAGACGGACUAAUUCCUGAUGGUAUGUAUUUCUCUCAUGAGUUAUACAUUAAAGAAUUUCGGUAUUGGAUGGGGAUGCGUCUGAUUAGUUUGUUGGUGAGGUAACGGCUCACCAAGACUUCGAUCAGUAGGGGUUCUGAGAGGAAGGUCCCCCACAUUGGAACUGAGACACGGUCCAAACUCCUACGGGAGGCAGCAGUGAGGAAUAUUGGUCAAUGGAUGGAAAUCUGAACCAGCCAAGUAGCGUGCAGGAUGACGGCCCUAUGGGUUGUAAACUGCUUUUAUGUGAGAAUAAAGUUAGGUAUGUAUACUUAUUUGCAUGUAUCACAUGAAUAAGGACCGGCUAAUUCCGUGCCAGCAGCCGCGGUAAUACGGAAGGUCCAGGCGUUAUCCGGAUUUAUUGGGUUUAAAGGGUGCGUAGGCCGUUUGAUAAGCGUGCUGUGAAAUAUAGUGGCUCAACCUCUAUCGUGCAGCGCGAACUGUUGAACUUGAGUGCGUAGUAGGUAGGCGGAAUUCGUGGUGUAGCGGUGAAAUGCUUAGAUAUCACGAAGAACUCCGAUUGCGAAGGCAGCUUACUGUAACGUUACUGACGCUUAAG
rnacentral:rRNA from 1 species